GACGGAGGGCGCUAGCGUUGUUCGGAAUCACUGGGCGUAAAGGGCGCGUAGGCGGCCUCAGGUGUCGGAUGUGAAAGCCCGGGGCUCAACCCCGGAGGUGCAUCCGAAACUCUGGGGCUGGAGGUCGGAAGAGGAGGGUGGAAUACCCAGUGUAGAGGUGAAAUUCGUAGAUAUUGGGUGGAACACCGGUGGCGAAAGCGGCUCUCUGGUCCGGACCUGACGCUGAGGCGCGAAAGCGUGGGGAGCAAACAGG
rnacentral:rRNA from 1 species